rnacentral:rRNA from 1 species
UGGGGAAUAUUGCACAAUGGGCGAAAGCCUGAUGCAGCGACGCCGCGUGAGGGAUGACGGCCUUCGGGUUGUAAACCUCUUUCAGUAGGGACGAAGCGCAAGUGACGGUACCUGCAGAAGAAGCACCGGCUAACUACGUGCCAGCAGCCGCGGUAAUACGUAGGGUGCGAGCGUUGUCCGGAAUUACUGGGCGUAAAGAGCUCGUAGGCGGUUUGUCACGUCGUCUGUGAAAUCCUAGGGCUUAACCCUGGACGUGCAGGCGAUACGGGCUGACUUGAGUACUCCACGGGAGACUGGAAUUUCUGGUGUAGCGGUGGAAUGCACAGAUAUCAGGAAGAACACCGAUGGCGAAGGCAGGUCUCUGGGUAGUAACUGACGCUGAGGAGCGAAAGCAUGGGUAGCGAACAGG